rnacentral:rRNA from 1 species
AGUGAACGCUGGCGGCGUGCUUAACACAUGCAAGUCGAACGAGAACGGAAUAUAGCUUGUUAUAUCUGUCAGCUAAGUGGCGCACGGGUGAGUAAUGUAUAGAUAACCUGCCCUUAAGAAAGGAAUAACAGUUGGAAACGACUGCUAAUGCCCUAUAUGCCUUUAAUACAUAAGUAUGCAAGGGAAACGCUUUAGUGCUUAAGGAUGGGUCUGUAUGGUAUCAGCUUGUUGGUGAGGUAAUGGCUCACCAAGGCUAUGACGCCUAACUGGUUUGAGAGGAUGAUCAGUCACACUGGAACUGAGACACGGUCCAGACUCCUACGGGAGGCAGCAGUGGGGAAUAUUGCACAAUGGACGAAAGUCUGAUGCAGCAACGCCGCGUGGAGGAUGACACAUUUCGGUGCGUAAACUCCUUUUAUAUAGGAAGAUAAUGACGGUACUAUAUGAAUAAGCACCGGCUAACUCCGUGCCAGCCGCCGCGGUAA